AUAUUCUUCAGCAGCACAUAUACUAAAAUUGGAAUGAUACAGAGAAGAUUAGCAUGGCCCCUGCACAAGGAUGACAUGCAAAACCUAGCCUAAUAUAAAGACUAA